UGGGUGAAUAGCCAGAACUCUCAAUUUGCAGUGGUGGUCACAUCCCAUGCCUGCAAGUCCACGAGCUGGGUGGGAAUCCUGACCUGUUACCUCCUGGUAGAGUAAUACUUGGCCUAAAGGAGACAGCUGCCUUGCCAAAUGCAAACCCAGGGAACACCGCAGAAGCAGGGCAGGGAAGACAGUAGGAGCCAAGAGUGAGGGAGAUCAUCCCCAGCGUCUGGCAGGACCACACUGAUCUAUCCAUGCUGAGGAGAAUCAUGUUUUUUGCAGUUGUUGGUGCUGGAUAUGCGAGCAAAGAGGAAUUGUGGAAAAGAAGGAAUAAAAGGUGGCACAGCAGAUUGGUGUGACCUCUGCAUGUACAAAGUCCCAAAACCUCCACCCUCAGAACAAAGUCAGUAAAGCUGCAGAGUGAAAUAAAGCAUCAACACAUACACACACACACACACACACACACACACACAGGCACAUACACGCACACACACAUACAUGCA